GUGGUCUCUGUGACUCAAUAGAGGGGGUUGUUGUCAGUCUUUUAUUUAAAGGUCUGCUGACCUAACCACAUAAAGGAAAAUAAUCUUCAGCCUAUUUUUGUGCUAUGAUUAAGUCUGCACAAGCUCCAAAAGCAGACACGACUGACAGUAGUGAAGAGGGUCCUGGGAUAUUUAGUUGCGAUACGCUUCUUCUGUGAAGGUCAUCACUUCUUUCAAUCAGAGUGAAUGAUUGACUCAACGAGAAGUUCAUAUUGCACGACAUACUUUCAGAAAUGAUUCAUGUUAAUGGUAUAUCUCGGGGGAUUGAUGUUGAGCAGAAGCUACAUCUAAAGCUUAAAAAAUGAUUUAGCAAUGUGGAAGCCUACAAACCAGAGCUCACGUAGACACAUUUGAUGGUAAACAUCACAGAAUAAAUACAACUAAAAGUCAUAAAAUUGGAUAGACAAUAAAUCUGACAGUUUAAGACCUUUUGGGGCUCAAAUCAUAAAAAAUAAAAUUACUUACGCAGCCAUUCCUUGAUUCAGCUGUGCAUCUUUUUCUCAGAUGUGAACAGAAGACAUUUUCACACUUUCUGACAGGUUGGAGCCACUCAAGGAAGUAGCUAUGCCAAAAAAAAAAAAAAAAAAAAAAAACACAACGAAGUACAAUAUUGAGGAAACAUUCCUUCCCUCCCCCAGUGCUGUCAUCUGUCCCCACCUUGUUUUACGUGAAACGUAUGCUCAGCAGAACACCACUUAAAACCUUUUUUGGGAUUUGAAAAUACAGUAAUGCCAGCCAUGGAAGGGAAGGCUUCUGCCUCUUGCAGGCCAAAAAAACAAACAAAAAAAAACCACUGUUUUUACUCACUUAAAAACAUUUAUUGGUUAAUGUUGAGCACCUCAAGACCUCAUUAGAGUGUAGAGUGGCCACACUCCGCACUGGAGAAUUUAGAGCUUCUCUGUCAAUGUUUCUCUCUGAUCUGGCUAUCAGUUUUGAGGAGAUGCUGAGCCUGGCAGACGGCUGCCCACUCUACAUUAGGGUGAGGCCACCUCCCACCCGUGGAUUUUCCCUUAGCCCCACUACCACAGACAGACAUCACAGACAUGUGGGAGAUGCCCUGUCUCUCCACCUUCCCCUCAGGAGCAGGCCUUGUGUCCCACAGCCCCGCCAUCCCUCUCAGCCUCCUGCCUCAAUCUCCCCCACCAGCGUGGGCCGGUGCAGGUGCCAAGAUGUCUCCCUUGGGCCUGGAGAAGAGGGAAAACAGCAUGGUUGCGGGCUCCUGCACCCAGCCCAAACCCACCUGCCUCCUGGGGAAGCCCGUGGUCUCAAUGAUUUCCUAUGGCAGUGAAUUUUGCAGCUUAAAUGGACUAAAAAUGUAUCGAGCUUUCUACUUCUUGGUUACACUGAAUGCCUCCUUCACUUUACAAACAAGAAAAAGGUGAGGAUUGUUAACUACCUGAUUUAGAACAUACAUUAAUGCACAGAUUUCUGUUUGUAAGGUGACAGCUUCUACCAUUGCACACUCCAGGAAAAUUCUUGUAUUUCCCCUUCAGCACCCUUUUGGAGACUGGGUGCCACAUACUCUCCCAUGCUGCUCCACUGUUUCUGUGCUGCCAUUACAGUGAUCUCCACAUUCUUGCUUAUUCCUUCCCUUUGCACACUCCAUGUCUGAUCUACUUUUUUGACUGGAGUUGCUCAUUGGUCUGUAUACAUUGAUGUCCC
rnacentral:lncRNA from 1 species